GAAGGAGGGGGGAGGGAUGGAGGAGGAUGAGGAGGCUGAGCCAGGUCUCUGGAUGGGUAUUGGGAUUAGGCAUUGUAAAGGAUGGAUGGAGCAGGCUGCACGCAGCUGUGUGUCCUCAGAGAGGGCAGACUCUUUCCAUCCCCAGCAUGGCAGAAAACACAUGAUGGAAAAAGUCUUGAAAGAGAGGAAGGAAGGGAUCUGGUUUGGAUCAUUGCUGUGGCGAUGUCUGCAGAAUAAGGUGUUUAUUUUGGAAAGGGCUCUGUUUACACGUCUGUUUUUAUGUGACACACACAUAUGGAGAUGUUUGCUUUGCCGGGACCUCGCAUUCCUCCCCACACACACAACACACACAUCCCAGCUGGGACAAGCGGGGGGUCCCUUCGCUCCCAGGUCCCCACCAGCCAGCCCCCGUCUCUCCCUCAGGCAGCUGGGACAAAGCACAGUCACGCUGCAAAAUGUUUUCAGCCAAAGAGUGUCCAAAGUCUCUCAAAGUGCAGUCCCCACCACCCUGCAUGUCAGAGGACAGAUGUUAUGUCCCUCACAUUUAAGGCACCUCAGUCACAGCGCUGCAGAAGCCCCUUCUUCCUCUCCUGGCCCACGGUCACCCUCUCAUGGUGGCCACAGGUCAGCCGGAGCAUCCCCUCACGUUGGAGCUGCACCAGCACAGAUCCCACUGCAAUUCUUCCUCAUCUCUAUGCUGAGGUGUUGGACAAGCAGGUGAGCUGACUUCCUCUUCUGAACAACUUCUGCCUGUUGUUGGCGGCACCACCAUUCAGCUGGCGGCUGCCAGGCAUGUCUGAGGAGAAAUUCAUGUUUUCGUGGCCUCUUGCCCUACGUGUGGUCCCUCUCUGACACAGUGCCACCAUCCUUUGCCCUUUUACAGCGGUCCCUGUCAGUUUCACCAGGGCUUUAAGACGGGAAAUGCAGCCGGUCACUUGAGGGCAUUGUAGGCCUCUCCAGAACAGAGCCUUGGAGGAAGCUCAGGAAGGGCCUUGCGAGAUUUGUCUCACAACAGAGGAAUACACAAUAAAUCCUCCAGAGGAAAUCGCAACAGACACCUGUACAGAUUGCACAGGUGGAUCUUGAGGUGUGAUAAUGUAAAAAACAGGCAUUUCUUGUUCUGUGUUCUUACGCAGUCACACAGGUACAUGUGUUGCAUGGGUAACACGCAGUCAAAAAGUCAUUUGACUGAAUGCGCAUCUGUCCUACAAAGGCAGUGCGUGUAUGUAUUUAAUGCCACUCAAGCCAGCAAAGUACACAUUAUUUGUCUUCUUCCUUUAUAACAUAGGCUGUUACUAAAAAACAGAGAGGGAGAACUUUCCUCUGACAACCUCCUUUGGCCAGACAAGGCCGUGUGCCAGACCCCGGGUCUGUGCAGAGCCUACAGCCCUACACACCGAUGGUGGCAGAGGACAUGGGCUGCCUCCUGAGAGUCACCUCCUAUCCACAGGUGUGGUUUUGUGGGUUGUAGUGACACACAGGAGUGACAAACUGGGGUUUAGUGGAUUCUGCCUGGGGAAUCCAAACAGCCUCGGACCAUGCAGCAAGCAACCUCAGUCCUUACCUCACUGGCAUUUCCUAUCCUUACACUCCCUAAGGCUGAGAAGUCCAUUUACAAAAGCCAAAGUCCAAACCCACAGAAAUAAUUAGGCACCUCAAGUAGUCCCUAGCUGAGCAGAGGGCACCCACACCCACAGCUGAGGUCCUGAAAACCCUUCUUGGCCUGCCCCGGUCUGACACCAUUAAGACAAUGGCAUGGGCUCUUCUUUGUGGAAGAUCUCAACCCUGUAGCCCUCAGAGAAUCUCCAGCUAAGUGGACAGCGGAA